UCGGACUUGCUGAGAGACGGUCUGGUGACGGCCAGGGCGGCGUUUAGAUGCCCCUGACAGAGAAGCAGGCCGUGCUGGCUGGAUGCUGAAUGUCCCCGGACACCCUCCUCCUGCACAGUUAUUACACAGGAGCUUCCAAAGUAGAGUCUCCAGACAUUUCCAUGGACUAAUUCAUCUUCUGCUUGAACCUCAUUAUUCUCCUGGAGGACCAGGGACUGUUCCAAAGCCACGCCCAUGUCUCCUUCUCCCACUGACUCAUCAGAGCCACUGGUGUUGUUCGGGAAGAUCAUGGAGGACAGGCUCAUGUCACUGUCUGAGCCAGAGGCCAGCUCCUGAUUGUCACACAGAAAUAGAGGCUAGAGUCAUUGUUCACAAAGCUACACACGAACAUGCAAUAAGGUCAACAGUGACUUUAACAUUAAUU